rnacentral:rRNA from 1 species
AACGAACGCUGGCGGCAUGCCUAACACAUGCAAGUCGAACGAGACCUUCGGGUAUAGUGGCGCACGGGUGCGUAACGCGUGGGAACCUGCCCUUAGGUUCGGAAUAACUCCCCGAAAGGGGUGCUAAUACCGGAUAAUGUCUUCGGACCAAAGAUUUAUCGCCUUUGGAUGGGCCCGCGUUGGAUUAGCUAGUUGGUAGGGUAAAAGCCUACCAAGGCGACGAUCCAUAGCUGGUCUGAGAGGAAGAUCAGCCACACUGGGACUGAGACACGGCCCAGACUCCUGCGGGAGGCAGCAGUGGGGAAUAUUGGACAGUGGGCGAAAGCCUGAUCCAGCAAUGCCGCGUGAGUGAUGAAGGCCUUAGGGUUGUAAAGCUCUUUUACCCGGGAUGAUAAUGACAGUACCGGGAGAAUAAGCUCCGGCUAACUCCGUG